UCUCUCCUUCUCCCUUGCUUGCGCUCUCUCUGUCUCUCUCAAAAAUGAAUAAACAUUUUUUUUUUCAUUAAAAAAAAUUUAAGUGGAUUAUUUCACUUAAACCAUUCUUUCAACACUUAUUUGCACAUGCCCGAAAUGCCAGCAAGGUUCUAGGACUGUGAGAUGGUGGUGGACAAAAGAGACAAAGUCCCAUGGAGAAACAAAGGGCGAUUUAUACACGCAGUGCAAUAUUAUUCAAGGAAACCCUGUCACGUGCCGCCACGUGGAUGGAUGCUGGGGACAGACGCUAAGUGAAAUAAUCCAGGCACAAACAGACGAACACUGUAUGAUCCCACUCACAUGAGAGAAACCAAGUGCCUGCUCUCGAGGGGUCCAUGUUCUAGAGGAGACGUCUCUAGUCCAGCGGCUGCACCGGACUUGGGGUUCAGAGUGAUGAUCUCAUGCUCUGUACAACCCUCCUUGCUGAGGCUCCCACACGGAUGAGUGAACUACACGCCCAUAUUCACCUUGGGCGCCGGCCGGGGGUACACGCUGACACCCUGAGGGGUCCUUGAACUAUCACACAGCCAUGCUGCAGCCUGCUUCUCCGAUGCCGCUGGGCACAGAGCUACCAGCCCCAGGGAUUCUGCCCACUUCCUUCGUCCCCUGGGGGCACAUCAGCCCAGGAUGUCUUCCUGAUGGCUCCCGGACCACAAGAGGUGGGUUCGGUUCAGAGAGGACAGGUGGCCACUUGAAAUGUAGCCAUUCCUGUGCUGACGGGCCCCUGCCAUCCUUCCAGAAGCCGUCUUCCCGUUGGGAUGCUGCCCAACCCUUCUUCAUAGUUGUCCCUCCUAUCACCCGGGGAAAUUCCACUUUUAUUGCUUGCAGGGCUCUUGAUUUUUAAAGCUGAGCCUUGAACACUGCUUUGGCUAGAUCUCUUAUCUGAGUGAUGCCUUCUGAGGGAAGAAGCAGGAGUUUUAGACCCUAAAGACCCAAGAAAGCCCGGGUGGGGUUUUUCCACUUCCCUUGCAGCUCCGUUUUGUCUCCUGCCCCUACACAGCAGUGAUCGCCAUCUGCCUGUGGGCACCAGCCUGAGACAGACGCUAGGGUCCAGGGAGGGAGGUGGACAUCACAUGUCAUGUAGCCCCCUCUGAUUUUGUGGCACAUUGGGGCAGUUGGGUAAUCCUGCCUGGGGAGCAGAGGCCAUCUCGCCAAGUGUCCUGACUCAUCACUGCUCUGUAGGAUGGCUCUUUCAUGGAAAAGUUCUGCACUGAGAUCAUCUUUGGUUUGGGACCCGGCUGUCAGGUCUGGACAGGGCAACUUUCCCUAGUCAUUUAUGGCUCUCCUCCAUGUUCUGGAUGGGGGUCACAUCUGGUUCAGAAAACCAAGUCCCCGAGGAGAUCAUCACUGGAUCUCUGUAAUCAGGGUCCAGUUGUCCUCCCACGUCCUGGCUGAAGUCUGAGGGUGGGGCAGAGCCUCCGGGACUCUGAGUGAUUCUGAGUCAGAGAGGACAGGCCAGGACACUGGCUUCCUGAAGGGUGUUGGUCACAUGUGCACACAGGCAUGUGUGUGCACGUACUCAGACAUACAUAUAUGCAUGUGUACACGCAAACACGUGCGCACCCAUGUACGCAUACGCAACUUAGCGUCUUUGCUAUGGUCACAGUCACACACAUAGAUAAUGUGCCCAGGGAUCUGUGUGCAGACCAGUUUAGCUGCAGAAAGAACCGUUCUUGAAGUGUGUUCUGUCCAAGUCUGUAGGUGGUGGGUGAAAAUGGCUAUAAUAGAUGUAGCCCCCCAGUGAGACUUGUGUGGGCAGGCAGCCUUUCAAGGGUUGGGAAGAAUGUGAGGCUUGGAGGGGUUGGGGAAGUAGAGGGAUCUGAGCUGGGUCUUCACAGACAGGUAGGAUUUGAAUAAAUGAAAGGGCAUGGGGGCAUUUAAGAUACAGGAGGCCGUGUAAAAAAAGGUUGAGGGCAUUAGUGGCUCUGGUGAGUGGUGACAGCAGGCUGGUGGGACCAGAAUGGCAGGUAGUUCGGGAGAACAGUGGCAGCAACAAGGUCUGGCAGAUAAGGCGGGUCAGACUGAAGGGGGCUUGAAAGUCUCCACAAUUAGAAGCCGGUGAUGUUUCUUGAAAAGGACAAGAGGAAAAGGAACGGACGCUGACAUGCUUUCUAGUCACCAGAUUCUGUGCCAGGUACUUUACGUUUAUUUACCCUUCACCAGAGUCCUGUAAGGCAAGAAAAUAUUAUUCCUAGUUUUACCAAUGAGGCAACCGAGGCUCAGCUAGAUGGUAUUACCAGCUCAGGGUGGUGCAGCCGGUAACUGAUGUGGCCAGUUCCAAACUCACUUUCCCCCAGUUCCCAAAGCUCCUGUCUGUUCCCUGUAGCACAUUGCCUCCCAAGAACAGCAGCAGAGCUAAAAUUAAUUUAAGGAAAGAUUCAUCUAGCUGCAGUGAAGACACAGACAGAUUGGAGGCUGGGGUCAGGGGACCUUCUAUUGAAAUAAGCAGGAGUGAGAUGAAUGUACAAGAUGAGCCUGGAACAUGUCACAUCAGAAAGCAAGGAUACCAUCAAAGUGGACACAGGAGCCAAAGUGGUUCCUACCGGCCGAAGACGAGACAAUGCAAACAUCAAUUAGGGUAAUAGCUGCAGGGGAUUGAUCGCAAUGGAUUAAAAUACAUCAGAUAUGUUGAACUCCAGGCCUUUGUCACAAUGCUAAAAGUAAGACACUCACUGGCCGCUUUCGGAGGAGUUCAUUCUUUGGGAAACGUGUCUAAGAAAGGAAAAUAUCCAGCAUUCUCAAGCAUUCCUUCUGCUUUUCCCAUAUGAAGUUUCUCCUUUUAGAAGCCUUCUAGCUAAUAACUGAAGAAGGAGCUGUAGAAUUAGAACAUCACCGUGUGCCAGCCUCUCACGGAUGAAUGGAUCUGGCCCCAGUGCCUAAUAAUAUCCCAAGAGCUAACCAGGUAGAUAACCAUAUACCUCCUCAUGGAAAGAACACCGCCACUUUUGGUGUUUCUGGCCAAAAACAAUCAUGCUUGAAUUGGAUUAAGCCUCUAGAUCUAAAUAUGAACUCGCAGGGAUUUCAAAGGACAGAGAAACAUAUUAAGGGACAUCUUGGGGAUGCGAUCAACAAAAUCCAGACUGCGGGAUCACUGACUGGAUAUCUGAUAUUCAUCAGGAAUUGAUAUCGUUUUUGAAAGGAAUGGUUCUGGUUUUGUGGAUUUGUGCUAAAAAAACAAACUCUGGUCUUAUUGAGAAACCUCCUGGAGUAUUUACAGAUGAGAUGAUACGAUGUCUGAGGGGGGAGUUUGGAGGGUGGGGGUAGUUGUAGAUACAACAAGGCUGGCUACGAGUUGAAAAGUGUUGAAUUCAGGUGGUAGAAAGGCAUCGUCUUCUCUACUUUGGCAUCUAUUGAAAAUGUGCCUCGGAUGGGAUGCUGCUGUUGCUGCGGUGGCAAAGGGAAAGCAGUGCUUAGCGGGGAGGUUUAGAAGGGACAGGAGAAUGAACCAGAGCUGGAUCUGGGGCACCGGGGGAGGGCGAGGCAUGGAUGCGUCUAAGCCCCUGACCCCCAUCAGUGUGCUGGCAGCAUAUGGUCCAGCACCACCCAGCUCCUGACUGCAGACAAGCUCUUCUGCCUUGGAAGUGCUGAGAAGUGUUGCCCGCCCAACCCGGAGGACCGUCUGCCAAUUGUUAAUAAUCUGCCAGAAUCCCAGCUCCAAGGCCACCUCAGCUGUGCCGUCUUCUGGAGGCAAUCAUGCCCCCUCCCGGGCUCCCCUGGUCCUCAUUCAGACUGGCCCGGAUCACAGUCUCACCUGCAUUUCGGUAGGUUGUGUUCAGUCCCUUGUCACCCCCAGUGCAUGUGCCCCUGGGGCAGGCAGAACUCACCAGGGAAUCCAGAGCGGCUCCACAUGGGAGACAUGUGGGACCUGCCUAUUGGUUGUGAAACGAACAGCCCCCUAGUUCCCCACUGGCAGGCGAGGAUAGUUAAGCAGAGGGCGGAGGACUGGACAAGAAGAGACAGUCUUGACAUUGGCCAGGAGAGGCUCUGCCAGAAUCUAGACCCUCAGCUGUUUCCAUGGCCCCGUGGGCAGCUGCUUCUGAAUCCCUUCCUCAAAGUCAAGCGCAUUGAGGACCUAGGAGGAGAAUGAUCCUGAAGGUGCUCCCCAUCAGGUCAUGCUCUGGGUCCAGGCACCUCAUGUGCCCCACGCUCUGCUCUGGGAGUUCAGAAGGUGCCAUUAUAGGCAGCCUUGCCCUGGGAACCCGGGGAGAAGGUCCAGCGAUAGAGCUGGAGGGGAGCAUGAGGUAGAAGGCCUGGGUGCCAUAUCCCAGGCUCUGCGGAGAUGUCUGGGAUGGGCUGCUGGCGGUGCCCCCUUCUGCUAGUGCUGAGUCCCCGUGGCCUCUGUGGGAACGCCACGUCUUGGACCCGUUCCAGGCUCAGUAAUUACAUUCUGCCUGUUAAACUCCCUCUGCGGUCUCAAUUGGAUACUGUUGUCAUUGAGUUUGCUUUCUCAAAUCAGCUUUUCAGGGUGAUGUCUGCAAGGCUGUGCCACUGGGAGCUGUCUCACAAGGUGGAGACGCGGAGCAGAACCCCGGGCCUUGCUUCAGGAACUCCGGAGCCCUGUGCAGAAUCAUCAGUAAUGGUUAAGACUUCCGGCUAAGCAGUGCCCUCCUCCUGAGUGUCUGACGUCAGCUCUCAAGUGCUCCCGAGAAUUGAGACGAAAAAGUGUGAGUGACUUUUGAGGGACCAGUUAGAGAUGAUCCGCUUUAUGUGUGUAAGGCACUUGAUAACACUUCUCGUUUGUGCUGGCAUUCACGUCCUCGCAGCGACCCAAACCUAGAGUCACCUCCAUCUGCCGCCUGGACUGCCGGCAGCAUCCACCCUUGUUCCUUUAAUUCAUUUUCCACCACAGACGGGAAGGAUCUUUCUAGCACGCCGUUUGUCACGUCCUUCUUCUGCCUGAAACUCUUCCAUGAUCUCAGCUUUCCCUUUCAGAAUGAUCUUGAAGACUCUGGAGGACCCUUAGGCAGUUCAUGAAGCCCGAGGCCUGUUGUUAACACUGUGACCAUCUCCAGUGAACUCCUGGCUGGGCCCUGCUGACACUCUCUGCCUCCUUUUCACUGCUUUGUCCGGGAGCCUCUCCAGUUCUGACUCUGGGCCCUUCACCCCCUUUCUGCCAGCAGCACCAGUUAUCUCAGUUCUGACGUGGUCUGCUUGCAGAGAGAGCCUCAGGUCCCACAGGUUGAGGGCUGGCUCCUUCAAGACCGCCCCUCCCUCCAUGCAAGUCCAGAGGUGGUCCCAUCAUCAUCCCAAGGCCCGGCUGGGGCUGGAUGGGCUGGCCUUCCACGGUGGCCCAGACUGCUGCUCCUCGUGAUCUCAGGGGUCUGAGUUUAUUGUGGAGGCUGCUGGGCUGGUGGAUUCCUUCUUCCCUGUGCUCACCCCAGAGGAGUUGCCACAAAGUGCUGAUCAUCCAGUCUCAUUGAAAGUAGCACAUUCGUGUGAACGGGGCCCCGGGAGAGCAUUUCCACGCCCAAGUCGCCGAAGCGUUUGCGGAAAGCUCCUGGCCAGAAAAGACUGGACGUGUGGAUGGGCUUCUCGGGGAGAGGAGCAGGGGCGUCCCUGGAGGGAGCCCCCAGAAUGCUGAUGCCACGGACAGGCCACACAAGUGCCGCGACUGUCUAACUCCACCGAAUGUGUAAUUAUAGCAACACAAGCAUCAAAUUACCAGGGACAAGUAGCUGCAAAGUCACAUCCAUUCAGCUUGCUAAAUGGUGUUCAGCAGACCCGCACUUGGGAGAGCCCAGGACGUCGGAAACUGGCGGAUGCCUUAGCAGCAGGACGCUCCUUGGUGCUGUAGAGGAGUGCUGGGGAUCCCUCCAUCCAGAUUCCUAGACCCGUGGGGAGGAGGUCAGCUGUUCCCAUUUUGUGAUACUGCAAGUGACCCUUCGGUGUCUGGGAAUGCAUUUUUCUGAUUAUUCCCGAGGGUCUGCUGGCCGAGGAAAUAAGGAAGAAAAAAGAAUCAUUGGGGAAGAGAAGGUCAUGCCCCCAGGCUCAAUGCUGAGUCAGGACCUGCCAUUUGGAGAUGGGGUGUAUCAGUUCCUCUAGAGAAGGAUCGUCUAUCCAUUGGCUUGGGAUUUCCCCAUUUGUGGGCAUUCUGGAGCCAGGAAAGAGCAGAGGGCGAGCUGUCUCACCUGUCAGUGUGCAAGCCUUCCUUCAAUUCCCUUACAUCCAGUCCUGGACCCUCCACCACCACCUCCUCAAUACCUGCCAACUGUGAGGAAAGUGAGGUCUGGAUAAAGUAAGUGAUUUAUUCAAUAGCUCUUCUGAGAAAAUGAGUGGCAGAGCAAGGUCAUGUGCCCACAACCACUUUUAUGAUUCUACUUUACCACUUGGAUGUUUUGAGGAAUAAAAGAUCACCUUUGACCCACACCUGGAACCCUGAUCUCUGAUCUCCUACUUUUGGAAUCAACCCACUUUGAGAUGCAGAGCCCAGACUUUUUAAAGCUCUGUGGUCUAUGGAUUCACCAUACUCUAAGUGUUGGUUUCCCACUUCUGUCCCUCCUCCCCGGAUACUGACUGCCUCUAGAUCCAACCUGGGUAUGUAUAUGGGAUAUAUACCAUGAUGGAUCCUGAAGAAAUGUGAAGACAUGGGAAGUUGGGAUUGUCUCCCUAUAAGACAAAUGCUCUUGGAUCGAUCCAACCAGCAGGCAUUCGCUGAAGGCUACCUGCGCACACAAAGCUAAAAUACAUGGUGAUACCAAA